ACUUAGGAUAAUUAAAACCAAGGACCUUCAAAGCCCUAAAUAGAGGUACAACCUCUAGUUUCUGCACACAAGACUUG
rnacentral:tRNA from 1 species